GCCGGGCGCGGUGGCGCGUGCCUGUAAUCCCAGCUACCCGGGAGGCUGAGGCUGGAGGAUCGCUUGAGUCCAGGAGUUCUGGGCUGUAGUGCGCUAUGCCGAUCGGGUGUCCGCACUAAGUUCGGCAUCAAUAUGGUGACCUCCCGGGAGCGGGGGACCACCAGGUUGCCUAAGGAGGGGUGAACCGGCCCAGGUCGGAAACGGAGCAGGUCAAAACUCCCGUGCUGAUCAGUAGUGGGAUCGCGCCUGUGAAUAGCCACUGCACUCCAGCCUGGGCAACAUAGCGAGACCCCGUCUCUU
rnacentral:SRP_RNA from 1 species